rnacentral:rRNA from 1 species
UACAGAGGUCCCAAGCGUUGUUCGGAUUCACUGGGCGUAAAGGGUGCGUAGGUGGCGGGAUAAGUUUGAUGUGAAAUCUCCGGGCUUAACCCGGAAACUGCAUUGAAUACUAUUCUGCUCGAGGGUUGGAAGGGGGACUGGAAUACUUGGUGUAGCAGUGAAAUGCGUAGAUAUCAAGUGGAACACCAGUGGCGAAGGCGAGUCCCUGGACAACUCCUGACACUGAGGCACGAAAGCUAGGGGAGCAAACAGG